AUAACGGUGGUUCAGUAGUAGAAUGCUUCCCUGCCAUGCUGGUGAUCCGGGUUCGAUUCCCGGCCGAUACA
rnacentral:tRNA from 1 species